UAUUAUUUACUUGAUCUUGAUAUCCUACGUGGAUAACUGUGGUAAUUCUAGAGCUAAUACAUGCACCAAAGCUCCGAUUUUUGACGAGCGCAUCUAUUAGAUUAAAACCAAUCGGAUUUCGGUCCGUCAUUUGGUGACUCUGAAUAGCUAUGGCUGAUCGCAUGGUCUUGUACCGGCGACGUAUCUAUCAAGUGUCUGCCUUAUCAACUUUCGAUGGUAGUUUAUGUGCCUACCAUGGUUGUUACGGGUAACGGAGAAUAAGGGUUCGACUCCGGAGAGGGAGCCUGAGAAACGGCUACCACAUCCAAGGAAGGCAGCAGGCGCGCAAAUUACCCACUCUCGGCAUGAGGAGGUAGUGACGAAAAAUAACGAGACCGUUCUCUAUGAGGCCAGUUAUCGGAAUGGGUACAAUUUAAACCCGUUAACGAGGAUCUAUGAGAGGGCAAGUCUGGUGCCAGCAGCCGCGGUAAUUCCAGCUCUCAAAGUGUAUAUCGUCAUUGCUGCGGUUAAAAAGCUCGUAGUUGGAUCUGCGCCUCAGGACUCGGUCCGCCCACUGGGUGAGAACUGGGCUCCUAGGCUAAUACUGCUGGUUUUCCCUAUGUUGCCUUCAUCGGUCGCGUAGGGUGGCUAGCGAGUUUACUUUGAAAAAAUUAGAGUGCUUCACGCGGGCUAUUGUCUGAAUACUCGUGCAUGGAAUAAUAGAAUAGGAUCUCGGUUCUAUUUUGUUGGUUUUCUGAUCUGAGAUAAUGGUUAAGAGGGACGGACGGGGGCAUUCGUAUCGCUGCGUGAGAGGUGAAAUUCUUGGACCGUAGCGAGACGUCCGACUGCGAAAGCAUUUGCCAAGAAUGUCUUCAUUAAUCAAGAACGAAAGUCAGAGGUUCGAA
rnacentral:rRNA from 1 species